CAGAGCCGCGGUAAAACGGAGGGUGCAAGCGUUAAUCGGAAUUACUGGGCGUAAAGCGUGCGCAGGCGGUUUGUUAAGACAGAUGUGAAAUCCCCGGGCUCAACCUGGGAACUGCAUUUGUGACUGGCAAGCUAGAGUCUGGCAGAGGGGGGUGGAAUUCCGCGUGUAGCAGUGAAAUGCGUAGAUAUGCGGAGGAACACCGAUGGCGAAGGCAGCCCCCUGGGCCAACACUGACGCUCAUGCACGAAAGCGUGGGGAGCAAACAGGAUUAGAUACCCCUGUAGUCCCUGUCUCUUAUACA
rnacentral:rRNA from 1 species